GCAUACCUAGAGUCCAACCUAGCUUGGACUUUAUCAAAUGAUGCCUUAUGAGGCUAUGUGGCACCAUCCAAUGGCUGCCACACUCAGAUCCAAACCUAAAUUAGCCUUGACUCAAUUUGAUUUGAUCAAAAAGUAAGAUUCGAAUCAAAUUCAAAUCUGAUUCAAGGAGAUAGGAUUUUCAUAUGUGUUAGCAUGCUUAUCAGAAACCUAAUUAGAUCCAAAAUUUCAAUCAACUA
rnacentral:lncRNA from 1 species